rnacentral:pre_miRNA from 1 species
CAUCCCAAAAUUCUUGUCUUAGAUUUGUCUAGAUACGGAUGUAUCAAGUCACAUUUUAGUAUUAGAUACAUCCGUAUCUAGACAAAUCUAAGACAAGAAAUUUGGGACAGAGGGAGUAGUUG